CCUAAGUUGACAAUUAAAAGCAGCUGGUAGGGGGAAGAAAAUCCACUGGGAAGGCAGGGUUCUUGCCUACUGGUUUGAAGUAGUUUCUGAGGCUGGCUCUUCUGUAUGUUAUUCUGUGGCUGUUUUAGGGUAAGGCAAGCUUUGGCUCACCUCUCUCACCCACUGCGAUGCUGAGGGAGAGAUGCUGAUACUUGAUAUGCAGCAUGGGAAGUCUCAGAUUAUUUUACAACUGAUGAGAAAAACGAAGUUGAUAACAUGCUGAUGUUUGUAGUUGCUGCUCAGCAUUAUUGUACAGAGCCAAGGCCAUCCUCAGUGAAGGGCACAAGGAGCUGGGACAGAACAUAAUUAGGACAGCUGACCCAAACUGCCUAAAGAUAUAUUCCAUACCAUAUGACAUCAAAGGAAUCUUGAAGUGGGUGGGUGUUCGUCUGGCUUCCUUCCUCUGCUCAAAGGGCUAACUGGGAAUUGGUCAGAGGGUGGUGAUCAUAAUUAUUGUUUUUUCCUUCUCUCUAUCUUUGUAAAUAGUUUUAUCUCAACCCAUGAGUUCUACUUUGUUUCAUUUGAUUAUUUCCCCCAUCCCACUGGCAAAGAGAGGGGGAAUGAAUGAAUGACUGCAUGGUACUUAAUGUUAUGGUUAAACCACAAUGUCCCACAGAGCAAAAAAUAUAAUUUUGCAGAGCACAAAAAAAGUAGUAAAACUGUUUUGUUUUUAAGUAAAUGUAUAAUCUGUUGUUCAUCACUUAGAGUGUCUAAAAAAAAUAAUUAAUGACAUUCUCUAUUUUAUGCACUUCUUGCUUUAAAGUAGAAUCACUGUAUGACUGUUUCCUGCUUAUUUUGAAAUGUUCAGCCUACUGAAUCUAGAGAUGAUUUGAAAAAGGGAGUUCAUUAGAAGCAGCAUUUUUUGUGUAAACUGCAGAAACUGCAGGUACUUUACUGAGUGACUGGUUGUCAGGUUUACAGCUGUUUUCUUAUGCCAAUCCUCAACAAGUCACUAUGGUCCCUGUAGAUGUGUCAACUCUAUCUACAUAACUGUGAUUGAAGAGUAAGAACUCAGAAGUUGGAAUGCUUGUCUGAAUCAAUAUAACAGUAUUUCAGGUCUUCUUUCUUGAAGCUUUAAUGUUGGGUGGUUUAUGUUAUUUUUGUUGGGUUUGUUUGUUUGUUGUAAUUCCUUGUCUGUACAACCCUCCUGGCUUUGGGAUUUUGCGGUGUUGUCCUGAUUUGAUGGCAAGACUCAUUUGAUGGAAAUAAGCCAGCACUCCCCUUAGAAGAUAGGAAUUUUAGGAUGCCAAAUCCUCAUCAAGUUUACAGAAUAAAAAAGCAUCAAGAGAUUACCUGACAGUUCUGUCUUUGUAGUAAGGAACAUCCUGGAAAUAUUAUAGGUCAAUUAAAAAAUCAAAAGUGUGGUCUAGCUUAAAAACAUCAGAAGUUCCUGUAACAAAACAUAACAAACAUGAUGAAAUCCAGAGCUAACUGUCGUAUUUAACAUAUCAACAGUUAGACAUAUUUGACAUAGUAAUAAAACAGCCUAUCAAAUAGUAAAGUACACUUUUAAGCUUUAAAGAACUACUUGGACUGAGGACAAACAGCAGUUAAUGACAGUUGUUGCAUUAUAAUGGUGCAGGCACGUUUGCAAGAGAGCUAAUGCAGUUAAGUUGAAAAUAUAUUAUCUUUCUGUUGAUAUUUCACCAGGACUGUCACAAGUUAUUUGCUAAAACAAUACUAUAAUUCACAGUAAUGUUGUAAGAUACCAAAGCAAAUCUCUACUGCAUUGCAAUAAACAUUUUACAAGUAAAAUGCUCUGUAAAUUAAAUAUUCAUGCAAAUGUGUGAGUCGUCCAUCGAACCUAUGAUUAAGGAACUGGUGUGGCUCAGAGUAUUAAAAAGGGUGCUGGACUUAAAUAACAUUCAACAUAAACUCAGG
ensembl:lncRNA